UGAGGAAUAUUGGGCAAUGCCCGCAAGGGUGACCCAGCAACGCCGCGUGGAGGAUGAAUGUCGUAGGAUUGUAAACUCCUGUUAGAGGGGAAGAAUAGUACCGGUUGGACCGGUAUAUGACUGUACCCUCAGAGAAAGCCCCGGCUAACUACGUGCCAGCAGCCGCGGUAAUACGUAGGGGGCAAGCGUUGUCCGGAUUUACUGGGUGUAAAGGGCGCGCAGGCGGGAUAAAAAGUCAGUGGUGAAAUCCUACAGCUUAACUGUAGAACUGCCUUUGAUACGUUUAUUCUUGAGUUCGGGAGAGAGAGACGGAAUUCCAGGGGUAGUGGUGAAAUACGUAGAUAUCUGGAAGAACACCAGUUGCGAAGGCGGUCUCUUGGUCCGACACUGACGCUGAGGCGCGAAAGCGUGG
rnacentral:rRNA from 1 species